rnacentral:rRNA from 1 species
GAGUUUGAUCAUGGCUCAGAUUGAACGCUAGCGGCAGGCCUAACACAUGCAAGUCGAGGGGUAUAAGGAGCUUGCUCCUUAGAGACCGGCGCACGGGUGCGUAACGCGUAUGCAAUCUACCUUGUACGGGGGGAUAGCCCAGAGAAAUUUGGAUUAAUACCCCAUUGUAUUAUGAAAUGGCAUCAUUUUAUAAUUAAAGUUCCAACGGUACAAGAUGAGCAUGCGUCCCAUUAGUUAGUUGGUGUGGUAACGGCACACCAAGACGAUGAUGGGUAGGGGUCCUGAGAGGGAGAUCCCCCACACUGGUACUGAGACACGGACCAGACUCCUACGGGAGGCAGCAGUGAGGAAUAUUGGUCAAUGGAGGCAACUCUGAACCAGCCAUGCCGCGUGCAGGAAGAAGGUUCUAUGGAUCGUAAACUGCUUUUGUACAGGAAGAAAUUAUCCCUCGUGAGGGAGCUUGACAGUACUGUAAGAAUAAGGAUCGGCUAACUCCGUGCCAGCAGCCGCGGUAAU